CACUUUUGCAUUAAAGACUAUGUCA
rnacentral:snRNA from 1 species